rnacentral:rRNA from 1 species
CUACGGGAUGCUGCAGUGAGGAAUAUUGCACAAUGGGGGGAACCCUGAUGCAGCAACGCCGCGUGGAGGAUGACGCAUUUCGGUGUGUAAACUCCUUUUAUAUGUCAAGAAAAUGACGGUAGCAUAUGAAUAAGCACCGGCUAACUCCGUGCCAGCAGCCGCGGUAAUACGGAGGGUGCAAGCGUUACUCGGAAUCACUGGGCGUAAAGGACGCGUAGGCGGGUUGGAAAGUCAGGUGUGAAAUCCUACAGCUUAACUGUAGAACUGCACUUGAAACUUCUAAUCUAGAGUAUGGGAGGGGGAGAUGGAAUUAGUGGUGUAGGGGUAAAAUCCGUAGAUAUCACUAGGAAUACCUAAAGCGAAGGCGAUCUCCUGGAACAUUACUGACGCCAAGGCGUGAAAGCGCGGGGAGCAAACAGGAUUAGAUACCCUCGUAGUC